rnacentral:lncRNA from 1 species
CUCGUUUGAAUUGUUUUACAUUGUCAUAUCGGGGCCUUUUAUAGCUGACUAUGCGGUAUGGGCUCUGCUCAUUGUUGAAGGCCGUACGGUGACCUAUAGUUGUUUAAAAUGUCUGUGUCAUUUUGGUCUCUUGUGGCCAGUUGUCUCAUUGUCAAUCAUACCACAUCUUCUUUUUUAUAUUUCACAUAUUCUUUUUAAUUUAGCACUCCAAUUAUAAAUAUACC